rnacentral:misc_RNA from 1 species
UCCAACUUAUCGCUGGCGGUCUCCUGAGAGUGCUUCCUUGCGGAGUGGCAACACAGGACAAGGGUUGCGCUCGUUGCGGGACUUAACCCAACAUCUCACGACACGAGCUGACGACGGCCAUGCAGCACCUGUGUUCAAGUUCUCUUUCGAGCACUCUCACAUCUCUGCAAGAUUCUUGACAUGUCAAGGGUAGGUAAGGUUGUUCGCGUUGCAUCGAAUUAAUCCACAUCAUCCACCGCUUGUGCGGGUCCCCGUCAAUUCCUUUGAGUUUUAACCUUGCGGCCGUACUCCCCAGGCGGGCAACUUCACGCGUUAGCUACGGUACCAAGGAAUCGCUUCCCCAACACCCAGUUGCCAUCGUUUAGGGCGUGGACUAC